GAGCGGAGAUGAGGUGCUUGCACCUUAUCUUAGCGGCGGACGGGUGAGUAAUGCUUAGGAAUCUACCUAUUAGUGGGGGACAACGUUUCGAAAGGAACGCUAAUACCGCAUACGUCCUACGGGAGAAAGCAGGGGACCUUCGGGCCUUGCGCUAAUAGAUGAGCCUAAGUCGGAUUAGCUAGUUGGUGGGGUAAAGGCCUACCAAGGCGACGAUCUGUAGCGGGUCUGAGAGGAUGAUCCGCCACACUGGGACUGAGACACGGCCCAGACUCCUGCGGGAGGCAGCAGUGGGGAAUAUUGGACAAUGGGGGGAACCCUGAUCCAGCCAUGCCGCGUGUGUGAAGAAGGCUUUUUGGUUGUAAAGCACUUUAAGCGGGGAGGAGAGACUACUUAGAUUAAUACUCUAGGAUAGUGGACGUUACCCGC
rnacentral:rRNA from 1 species